AUUGAACGCUGGCGGCAGGCUUAACACAUGCAAGUCGAGCGAGCGGCGGACGGGUGAGUAAUGUAUGGGAAUCUGCCCGAUGGAGGGGGAUAACUACUGGAAACGGUAGCUAAUACCGCAUACUAUCAGAUGUGCCCAUAUGGGAUUAGCUAGUAGGUGGGGUAAUGGCUCACCUAGGCGACGAUCCCUAGCUGGUCUGAGAGGAUGACCAGCCACACUGGGACUGAGACACGGUCCAGACUCCUACGGGAGGCAGCAGUGGGGAAUAUUGCACAAUGGGCGCAAGCCUGAUGCAGCCAUGCCGCGUGUGUGAAGAAGGCCUUCGGGUUGUAAAGCACUUUCAGCGAGGAGGCGUUACUCGCAGAAGAAGCACCGGCUAACUCCGUGCCAGCAGCCGCGGUAAUAC
rnacentral:rRNA from 1 species